rnacentral:rRNA from 1 species
GACGAACGCUGGCGGCGUGCUUAACACAUGCAAGUCGAACGGAAAGGCCCUGCUUUUGUGGGGUGCUCGAGUGGCGAACGGGUGAGUAACACGUGAGUAACCUGCCCUUGACUUUGGGAUAACUUCAGGAAACUGGGGCUAAUACCGGAUAGGAGCUCCUGCUGCAUGGUGGGGGUUGGAAAGUUUCGGCGGUUGGGGAUGGACUCGCGGCUUAUCAGCUUGUUGGUGGGGUAGUGGCUUACCAAGGCUUUGACGGGUAGCCGGCCUGAGAGGGUGACCGGCCACAUUGGGACUGAGAUACGGCCCAGACUCCUACGGGAGGCAGCAGUGGGGAGUAUUGCACAAUGGGCGGAAGCCUGAUGCAGCAACGCCGCGUGCGGGAUGACGGCCUUCGGGUUGUAAACCGCGUUCGCCUGUGACGAAGCGUGAGUGACGGUAAUGGGUAAAGAAGCACCGGCUAACUACGUG